AGUUAUCGUUUAUUUGAUAGCACCUUGCUACUUGGGUAACCGUGGUAAUUCUAGAGCUAAUACAUGCUGAAAAUCCCGACUCCGGAAGGGAUGUGUUUAUUAGAUCCAAAGCCAACGCCCCCCGGGCUCACUGGUGAUUCAUGAUAACCGCUCGAAUCGCACGGCCUUGCGCCGGCGAUGGUUCAUUCAAAUUUCUUCCCUAUCAACUUUCGAUGUUUGGGUAGUGGCCAAACAUGGUUGCAACGGGUAACGGAGGGUUAGGGCUCGACCCCGGAGAAGGAGCCUGAGAGACGGCUACUACAUCCAAGGAAGGCAGCAGGCGCGCAAAUUACCCAAUCCCGACGCGGGGAGGUAGUGACAAUAAAUACCGAUAUAGGGCUCUUUCGGGUCUUAUAAUUGGAAUGAGUACAAUUUAAAUCCCUUAACGAGGAACAAUUGGAGGGCAAGUCUGGUGCCAGCAGCCGCGGUAAUUCCAGCUCCAAUAGCGUAUAUUAAAGUUGUUGUGGUUAAAAAGCCCGUAGUUGAACCUUGGGCCUGGCUGGCCGGUCCGCCUCACCGCGUGCACUGGUCCGGCCGGGCCUUUCCCCCCGCGGAACCCCAUGCCCUUCGCUGGGCGUGGCGGGGAAACGGGACGUUUACUUUGAAAAAAUUAGAGUGCUCCAGGCAGGCCUAUGCUCGAAUACAUUAGCAUGGAAUAAUGGAAUAGGACGCGCGGUUCUAUUUUGUUGGUUUCUAGGACCGCCGUAAUGAUUGAUAGGGACAGUCGGGGGCGUCAGUAUUCAACCGUCAGAGGUGAAAUUCUUGGACCGGUUGAAGACUAACUACUGCGAAAGCAUUCGCCAAGGAUGUUUUCAUUAAUCAGGGACGAAAGCUAGGGGAUCGAAGACGAUCAGAUACCGUCGUAGUCUUAGCCAUAAACUAUGCCGACUAGGGAUCGGGCGAUGUUAUCCUU
rnacentral:rRNA from 1 species